rnacentral:tRNA from 1 species
AAGGGUAUAGCUCAGUGGUAGACUGCAUGCUUAGCAUGCACAAGGUCCUGGGUUCAAUCCCCAGUACCUCCA